CCUACGGGUGGCAGCAGUAGGGAAUUUUGCGCAAUGGGGGAAACCCUGACGCAGCAACGCCGCGUGAUUGAUGAAGCCCUUCGGGGUGUAAAGAUCUGUCAGUGGGGACGCAACUUGACGGUACCCACCGCGGAAGCAUCGGCUAACCCCGUGCCAGCAGCCGCGGUAAUACGGGGGCUGCAAGCGUUAUCCGGAAGCAUUGGGCGUAAAGAGUUCGUAGGGGGCACGUUAAGUCUGUUGUGAAAUGCAGAGGCUCAACCUCUGUUCGGCACUGGAUACUGGCGAGCUUGAUUGCGGUAGAGGUAAAGGGAAUGCGUGGUGUAGCGGUGAAAUGCGUAGAUAUCAGGAGGAACAUCGGUGGCGUAAGCGCUUUACUGGGCCGUAAUUGACGCUGAGGAACGAAAGCGAGGGUAGCAAAUGGGAUUAGAUACCCCAGUAGUC
rnacentral:rRNA from 1 species